CUUCUCUUGUGUGGUCUUAGGACGGACGGGACCACCGGGCCGCCGCCCUCCCACCACCCGCGGCUGCCCUCCCACCACCCACCACCCAGUGUAGUGCGAACCAGCAGGGACAGGGUCGGCACGCUGUACACACAGCACAGCAUCUACAACAAGGCUUACAACGACGCCAUUAUUCUCAGGCGACCAAGAACACACCCGGACCACAGUAUAUAUGGCAGACCCCAGUCAACAGACUGGAUUCACUAUACGAGACAGCGGCACGAGUGCAAGGUCAAACCAGGUCAUCACCAUUGGCAACCGGGCCUACACAGUUCCACUGCACCAAUAGAGGACAUUCUUUCAUCAGCACACCAUGGAUUAAAACUGAGCGACCGGCUUGCGCGAGACGACCAACAGAAACAUCAAUGCCUCUAACGUCAACAUAAACGCCGCAACACACAGCGACGCCCGACGAACGUCGGUACCCACGGUGGCGCGACUACGGCCGGCGGCCUACGGUAAUGGGCAACCCGUGAUGAAGAGCCGUCAAUCACUAUGCAAGUAAACAGGAACUAUACAUGUAACUUUACUGUCUAUGCUCUAUAAUCAUAUAUACUGACAUUAUUCUUCACUUAAAUGUACCAUAUGAAGACUCAACGUGGUCGUAUGUCUAACUUUGCUGGUAAUUCAUGAUAAGUAGUUACACAUAUGGUUAUCCUUUCAACUAGACUAUGUUGAUGCACAUGCAUGCCUGUUUCAUGUAGAGAUAUGCCUCUUCC